rnacentral:misc_RNA from 1 species
UCUCUCUCUCUCUCUCUCUUCUCCAGCAUCCAACCUCUCUCCAGGUAAAUGUUUACUAUAGUCAUAUGCAAAGGAGUCCGCUCUCCAUUAUCAUGCUCGAUUUUGCAGUCUCCGCAUAAAACUUUUAUGGGUAAGAUGUUUUGUUUUUAUUCAUCCUACUAGUCUAAAGAACAGUUGUUUCUAGUGGCAGUGCUUUAGCUUUAUCAAACAAAAACCUUUGCUGUCCAUAUUCGAGGUACUAAGCUGGAUUUUGCAGAUUUUGGUUUCAAAGGACUUGUAUUGAAGUGAAUAACUGUAUUCAUCUGUUUGUUGCUCUAUUUUGGUUCUUGUUAUGGGAGAAAUGUGGGGGACUUCAAUUUCAGUUAAUUUGAAAUGGAAUAGGUUUGCUUGCCAAAAUAGCUUGUAUAUUCCAAGUAAUUGUGAAUAUAGGGUAUGGAGGAGUUAUAAUUGUAGCUUGUACGGUAGUUCGCUUAUGAAAAUGAAUGGAGGUCCCGUGGGAAUAUCCGAGCUCAUUAUUUUUUCCAUGCCAAUGGAGGGGUAUGCAUGGUUUGGAUGUGCACAACGGAAGAUACCCCAAUUGAGUUCAUUAAUUGGAUCCACUAAAAUGACUAAUUUUUUUGGUGUAUCAAAUUUUGUUGCUAGUGAUGAACCUGGGUUGGUUUCUGAAGAAAAUGAAGACAAUGAAUUUAUUCAAAAAAGAAAAGAUGAAUUUCAGACAGAUUAUUUUGGACAAUAUUUGCCUCCUUGGGGAAAUUUGAUAGCUCACCACAGAUCAGAUAUGGAUUCUGAAAGUACCGCUCAGCAUUCAAUGCUGUCAAGAGAUAUGAUCACUGUUAAUGAAAUUAGGGUGCAACUUUUAGAGGAAACAGAUGAAGAAGAGUUAUCAAGAAAGAUCUUGAUGCUUAGCAGAUCCAAUAAGUUUAGAAGUGCACUAGAAUUGUUCAGGUCCAUGGAGUUCUCAGGUCUACAACCCAAUGGACAUGCUUGUAAUUCUCUUAUCUCUUGUCUCUUAAGAAAAAAACUUCUUGACCAUGCAUUGAGUGUCUUUGAGUUCAUGAAGAGAAAUGAGAUCACAACAAGCCAUACAUAUGCCUUAAUACUAAAAGCAGUUGCAGAUUAUGAGGGAUGUGAUUGCUCCCUUAAUAUGUUUAGAGAAUUAGGAGGGUUUUCCGGGGACAGGAAUGAUUUUGAUGUCAUUGUUUAUAACACAGUGAUAUCUGUCUGUGGAAGAGUGAACAAUUGGGUUGAGACGGAGAGAGUAUGGAAAAGCAUGAAACAAAAAGGUAUUAAUGGAACACAAAUUACAUUCUCACUGUUGGUUAGCAUUUUUGUGCGUUGUGGCCAGAAUGAGCUGGCUCUGGCUGCAUACAGUGAGAUGAUUCAAAAUGGUAUUAAACCAAGAGAUGAUGCACUGCAGGCUGUAAUUGGGGCAUGCACAAAAGAGGGAAAGUGGGAUUUAGCUCUAAAUGUUUUCCAGAAUAUGUUGAAUCAUGGGCUGAAGCCUAAUCUUAUUGCAAGCAAUGCAUUGAUAAAUUCACUUGGAAAAGCUGGAGAACUCAAACAAGCAUU